UACGGGGGGGGUAAGCGUUGUUCGGAAUUACUGGGCGUAAAGGGCUCGUAGGCGCCAACUAAGUCGGACGUGAAAUCCCUCAGCUUAACUGGGGAACUGCGUCCGAUACUGGAUGGCUUGGAUUUGGGAGAGGGAUGCGGAAUUCCGAGGUGUAGCGGUGAAAUGCGUAGAUAUCUGGAGGAACACCGGGUGGCGAAGGCGGCAUCCUGGACCGGCAUUGACGCUGAGGCGCGAAAGCUAGGGGAGCAAACGGGG
rnacentral:rRNA from 1 species